UGACUCUUGCUAUACUGCUAAUAUGAAUUUUACUGCUUAUUAUUAGUUGAUACAACACUCAACAACAUGGUUACCUAGACUAUAAUAGUGUUCAAACAUAAUAAUAUUUUACAGGACCGGUUCUUACAAUGGAAGUAUUCGACCAAUAAAUAGACUUCUUCAUUAUUUCAAUUAAAGCGUCUGUAUAUUUUUCUACCAAAUCCUAUCCAGUUGAGGAAUAGCUUAAACAACGAGAGACGUUAGACUAUAUAGAGACAACAUGCAACCGUACCCAAAUCAAAGCUGACAGGUUGGAUCUAUUUGCAGGCAUCAAUGCAGUUUAAAUCCCAGGCGUUAAUUGCCUACGACAAUCCACACGAUUAAUGGUAAAACAAGCAAUCUAAGAAGGUUUAAAAAUAAAAAUAUGUUUUUGGAGGAUGGUCUUUUAAGGUGAUCAAUAUCUCAUGCAAAUAUCAUCCAUCAUCAUGAAGAUGGAGAAUACAACAUAAUUACCAUUACCAUGGUAGGUAUGUAAAUUGUUCAAUAUUAUAAUAUAAAAUGGAGAAAAAAUGUUGUUCAUGUAUUUUAUGAAUUUUUACCAUAAUAAUAAUUGUACUGUCACAUUUUAUCAUGUUUAUUUUAUAGUAUUGUUAAAUUAUUGUAUUA